rnacentral:lncRNA from 1 species
CCGUUAAACUAGCAAGUAUUCCAUACCGGCCAUUAAAAGUUGUCAAUUUUGUGAGCUUUUGAUCGUAAGGUAAAUGAUGUCAAAAAAUUAUGAAAUUUGAUUUCUAGAUGUUUCAAAUGCUCUAGAUAAUGUUUAACGGUGUGGAUCGUCAAUUCGGAAGCUCUAUCAUCGAAAACAACUUAUGAGUGCGAGGGCGAUCGUACUUAUAAUAGUAUAGUAGCUGGACUCUAUAAAU